CCAAGCUUGAGGCCCACAAAGGCUUCUCACUGGAAAGAGGGAAGUCUUGGUGGCUGAGGCAGAGGAGAUGGGUUGAGGCUGGACACAGAGCAAAUGAACCCUCUCACCUCAGGCAGUGGUAAGAC
rnacentral:SRP_RNA from 1 species